rnacentral:rRNA from 1 species
UCCAGACUCCUACGGGAGGCAGCAGUGGGGAAUAUUGCACAAUGGGGGAAACCCUGAUGCAGCGACGCCGCGUGAGUGAAGAAGUAUUUCGGUAUGUAAAGCUCUAUCAGCAGGGAAGAAAAUGACGGUACCUGACUAAGAAGCCCCGGCUAACUACGUGCCAGCAGCCGCGGUAAUACGUAGGGGGCAAGCGUUAUCCGGAUUUACUGGGUGUAAAGGGAGCGUAGGUGGCAUGGUAAGCCAGAAGUGAAAACCCGGGGCUCAACCCCGCGGAUUGCUUUUGGAACUAUCAGGCUGGAGUGCUGGAGGGGUAAGCGGAAUUCCUAGUGUAGCGGUGAAAUGCGUAGAUAUUAGGAGGAACACCAGUGGCGAAGGCGGCUUACUGGACUGUAACUGACGUUGAGGCUCGAAAGCGUGGGGAGCAAACAGGAUUAGAUACCCCUGUA